CCAAACAAACUGUCAUUGACUCGAUCGUACUCUCGUGUACUCGUAUACAUACAUGCGAUGCACUCGCUACAAUUUUCUUUUUUAACAACCUGUUAACGGGUCAGCUGGGUGAGAAAAAAAAAGAUUGGUAUAUAAACACAGUUUCCCACAGACAUGACAGCACAUACCAAUCGUGCAGCACUGGUUGGGAUGGAGAGUGGGUCCACCGGAGUAGUUCGAUCCUACGAUUCAAGUACUACAGUUAACAUAUAAUGAAAGGAUCAGUGGUGUCUGUUGUCGUGCUUCUUCUCGGCGUGUUCCCCUUGAUGGUCAGGUCAGGUGGAAGUCCCCGAGUCUGCAACACGAUGUCGUUAAGACGGGUGCACGUCAACGGACUCUGUGGCGACUCCUUCACCAACACCCUGGACAGUUUAUGUCACAGACGACUAAUACGAAGCGAUCCAUUGACCGCAAUAAGCAGACUGAAAAGAAUAAUUUUGGAAAAGAAAACCGCCAUGGAAUAUCUCGAGAAACGAAGCGGGGCCACCGCAACCUGCGAGUGCUGUUUUAACCAGUGCUCAUUACAGGAACUCAUAGAGUACUGUCCUUAACGAGAACGUUUAUUUCUAACUCUUUUCUAAACUAACUAACUAAAUUGUUUUUUUUUAAAAAAGGUUUUACCGUCUCUUAUGAAACCAAAUUGGAAAAUGUGUUUUCGUUUGUAUUUCUCUGCAACCUGUAUAUUGAUGGAAUACAUAUUAUUGUGACAAAUACAUUUUUAUGAAAUAAAAAGAAUUUUAAACAAUGUCUUGAAUUAUUAACAACAACAAUAAAAUAUGAAUUUUCA